rnacentral:rRNA from 1 species
CCUACGGGUGGCAGCAGUGAGGAAUAUUGGUCAAUGGGCGAGAGCCUGAACCAGCCAAGUCGCGUGAAGGAUGACUGCCCUACGGGUUGUAAACUUCUUUUGUCGGGGAGCAAUUGAGUCCACUUUUGGUCUUAGCGAGUGUACCUGAAGAAAAAGCAUCGUCUAACUCCGUGCCAGCAGCCGCGGUAAUACGGAGGAUGCGAGCGUUAUCCGGAUUUAUUGGGUUUAGAGGGUGCGUAGGCGGAAUAUCAAGUCAGCGGUAAAAAUUCGGGGCUCAACCCCGUCGUGCCGUUGAAACUGAUGUUCUAGAGUGGGCGAGAGGUAUGCGGAAUGCGUGGUGUAGCGGUGAAAUGCAUAGAUAUCACGCAGAACCCCGAUUGCGAAGGCAGCAUACCGGCGCACAACUGACGCUGAAGCACGAAAGCGUGGGUAUCGAACAGGAUUAGAUACCCUGGUAGUC